UUUGAUGUAUUGUGUUAAAUGUAUUGUUGAGAUUUUUUUCACUCUCAUAGUUUUACCUUUUAAAACUGUAGUAACUGGCACACGUACAACGUGCGGCUGGCAUUUGUAGCACUCAUCACGUCCCAGCUGGACAGUGCUGGGCUGUUUCUCUUCAGAUGAGCACACACUGACGCUCAGGUGGACGUGUUACUUGUACGUGCACAGACCUAGUACAGCUGAGAACACGGAUUCUCGGCCAGAGAUCAAUGUUCUGCGGCCUAGAAGGUCACAGAAGGUAGGGGCACUGGCGUGUUUCAGAGAAUGGGAUCUUAUCGGCUGUGCUAAGUUUCAACAGGAGCGGAAAUUUAGAAAAUGAAAGACGCCGCAAGUGGGAGUGGAAGAAGGCAAGGAUGUGAAUCGCAGACAGGAUGGGAAGGCUGGGCCUCGGGAGCCGAGCUCUUGAACACGCCCGCCCGGCAGCUGCUCUUCGCUCGCUCCUUCACGCCCUCUCUACCCAGCUUCUCCUCGUGCACAAGACCCUGCCUUCACAGAGACGUGCAGAAAAGCAAAUGUUUGAGUUGAUGCCCUAGCCCUUUUCCAAAUCUAUGACUGAGAUUCAGUAAUCCUUAUAAGUGGUUCUCAAGCCUGGUACCUGGAGGUCUUUGUUGAUGUAGAGAAUCCAAGGCCUUACCCUUGAAAUUCUCAUUGAAUCUAGAAGAAUGUCAUGAAACCUACAUUUUUACAAAGUUCCCCGGAAAAUUCUGAUUAUCGGCCAACUGUUUAAACUUCUGCUGACUUAUAAGAGGCAUGGCAAACCAGCUUUUGGCUGAAUCCUAACAGGUAGGCCAGAAAUCAUCCAGGCAAGCCUCUUCUUGACAAAGCUGAAGGACCUGAAGUGGAAGGAAGGAGAUCACAUCUGUUCCUUUCUUUGUGCCUCUCCCGGGCUAUUUGGCAAGGCUACGCCUAUAAAUGUUACUAGCUGACUAAUACAUUAACAGUCCUCACAGCCCCUCCUCUCCUUUAAUUGGCUUAUAUGCCAGCAACAUCUUGCCAGUUCUAACUUGGCUGAAUUAUCUCCGGAACAUCCAGAGAAAACCAUGCGUGUUUGAGGCUUGGUUUUGCUUUUGUUUCCAUAUCUGUUUUAGUGGAUUAAUGGCUUCCUUUCCUUACAAGCUGAGCUGGAGGAGAGUCUCUCUUUUUCUUUGUAUGAACAAUAUGUGGGAAGAAGAGGAUGAGCCAGAAGAGAGGAAAGGAGGUUCACCCUUAGAUGGAAGCCCAGGAACUCCUCCCCAGCUUCUGUAGAGGACCAACAGCUGUCACCACACCACACAGGAGGAAGUGAAUCCAUCUGGAUGACCUGCACCAGAGCUUUACUCGCAUCUUGCUGAAGCCAGCUGGUCUACCUCAGAGAUCAUCGUUAACCACAGAAAGAUGUGUGGCUGGCUACCUUGGCACCAGAAUGGGAGGAAGAGAUGGCUGUGUGGAAUAGCCAGUGAUGAUGUCUCAGAGAUCAUGCACACUGGUGUGGGACCUUGAAAUAUGCCAGCCUGUCAUGUGUUCCUUUGGAAUACUUCAAGAUGGCUAUCUGAGAAACUACACACAGUUUCAGAAACUCCAAAAGGCUGCCAUUUUGUAAAAGAAAUAUAUGUAAAGGGAAAUGUACCUUAGUGAAGAAAACAGCCAGCAGUAUAAACAGACUUUUCUAUCUGCUAUCCUCCUUUCUGUCUAGGAUGGAUCUUCACAGGAAGAACCAAUUGGGGUCUGACACAUGGCCCAAGCAGAGAUGACCGCAGGUGGCUUUUGCCUGGGAGACUUCAUCUGCAUAACAUGACACGCCUUGUUCACUGUGUCCUUGUCUCCUCAACCUUCCAUAGCUGGCCACCCCCUCCUCCCACUCCAGAGGUCCCAGGUCCAUCCCUUUAUGUACUUCUGUAUAAGCUUCAACUGUCUAACCCUCCUUGGAUCUCAUACUUUGAGUAUGGCUCCUGUGUUUCUGCACAUUAAUAAUUGUUUUCCUUUCUUAAUGCAUCUUUUGUCAGAUUACUUCAUGGCCUGAAAUUAUCAAACCUUCGAGGAGAGUGCAUUUAAAAUGUCUCUACGUUGGUCCGUGGUGAGAGAUGGACUCUGUGGGGCAGGUUUCCAUUCCUACAAAUAAAAUAGCUGAGAUAAUCAGCUUAUAAAGAAAAAAAGUUUGGGCUUUGGGGUGUAGCUCACUGGUUUAGCAUGUGCUUAAUGAGUGCAUAACCUUGUGUUUAGUCUCUAGCACAGAAAACAGAGGAGCCAGAAGAGGAGGAGGAGGAGGAGAAGGAGGGAGGCAGAGGGCGAGAAAGGUUGUAAGUUGUAGUUUAUGAUCAGUUGGCCUGGCCAUUUUAGGAUCUGGUCAGGCAGAGUGAAGAGGGGUGCACAUAUGACGAGAGAAGCAUGUGGAAAAGCAAAACCACCCAUGGCCAGGAAAUGGGGCACUGAGAGCCCACAGUCCCCUUUAAGGGUAUACCCCCAGUGAACUAAAGUGUUCCCACUAGGCGCCAUCUCUAAGUUUCCACUACUUCCCAUUAGCCCCAUGCUGGGGAUCAAGAAUUUACCAUAUGUCCCUCUGGAAAACAUGUAAGAUCCAAACUAUAUCCUUCAGAGGGAAGAGGGUAAAUUUAUAACUUCUCUAAGCUGGUCCAAGGUGGGAGGAUGGGGAAAAUCCCAUGGCCAAACAUUGUAGCAAUGUCAUUUUGUCUCUUCAGCAGGAAGGCAAAAUGUUUAGGGCUAACACCUAGGGUUAGAGCAGGCUUUGUCCCACCCACUUUAGGGUCUCAGGUCACAUGGAGACAUUUUACAGAAAGGACUCUAACACAGCUCAGAGGAUACUAAUACCAUUGGCAUGAUAAUGUUCCCAAGUUAU